rnacentral:rRNA from 1 species
GUUAAGCGACUAAGCGUACACGGUGGAUGCCCUGGCAGUCAGAGGCGAUGAAGGACGUGCUAAUCUGCGAUAAGCGUCGGUAAGGUGAUAUGAACCGUUAUAACCGGCGAUUUCCGAAUGGGGAAACCCAGUGUGAUUCGUCACACUAUCAUUACGUGAAUACAUAGCGUAAUGAAGCGAACCGGGGGAACUGAAACAUCUAAGUACCCCGAGGAAAAGAAAUCAACCGAGAUUCCCCCAGUAGCGGCGAGCGAACGGGGAGCAGCCCAGAGUCUGAAUCAGCUUGUGUGUUAGUGGAACGGUCUGGAAAGUCCGACGGUACAGGGUGAUAGUCCCGUACACCAAAAUGCACAGGUUGUGAACUCGAAGAGUAGGGCGGGACACGUGGUAUCCUGUCUGAAUAUGGGGGGACCAUCCUCCAAGGCUAAAUACUCCUGACUGACCGAUAGUGAACCAGUACCGUGAGGGAAAGGCGAAAAGAACCCCGGCGAGGGGAGUGAAAAAGAACCUGAAACCGUGUACGUACAAGCAGUGGGAGCCUCUUUAUGGGGUGACUGCGUACCUUUUGUAUAAUGGGUCAGCGACUUAUAUUCUGUAGCAAGGUUAACCGUAUAGGGGAGCCGAAGGGAAACCGAGUCUUAACUGGGCGUUAAGUUGCAGGGUAUAGACCCGAAACCCGGUGAUCUAGCCAUGGGCAGGUUGAAGGUUGGGUAACACUAACUGGAGGACCGAACCGACUAAUGUUGAAAAAUUAGCGGAUGACUUGUGGCUGGGGGUGAAAGGCCAAUCAAACCGGGAGAUAGCUGGUUCUCCCCGAAAGCUAUUUAGGUAGCGCCUCGUGAACUCAUCUUCGGGGGUAGAGCACUGUUUCGGCUAGGGGGUCAUCCCGACUUACCAACCCGAUGCAAACUGCGAAUACCGAAGAAUGUUAUCACGGGAGACACACGGCGGGUGCUAACGUCCGUCGUGAAGAGGGAAACAACCCAGACCGCCAGCUAAGGUCCCAAAGUCAUGGUUAAGUGGGAAACGAUGUGGGAAGGCACAGACAGCCAGGAUGUUGGCUUAGAAGCAGCCAUCAUUUAAAGAAAGCGUAAUAGCUCACUGGUCGAGUCGGCCUGCGCGGAAGAUGUAACGGGGCUAAACCAUGCACCGAAGCUGCGGCAGCGACACUAUGUGUUGUUGGGUAGGGGAGCGUUCUGUAAGCCGUUGAAGGUGGCCUGUGAGGGUUGCUGGAGGUAUCAGAAGUGCGAAUGCU